rnacentral:misc_RNA from 1 species
AACGCACAUUGCGCCCGCCGGUAUUCCGGCGGGCAUGCCUGUCCGAGCGUCAUUUCACCACUCAAGCCCUGCUUGGUGUUGGGGCACCCGGCCGCCUGGCGGUCGGGGCCCCCAAGUACAUCGGCGGUCCCGCCAGGGGCUCCGAGCGCAGUAGCUCGCGGUAAAACGCGCCCUCGCUCGGCGGCUCCUUCGGGCCUCCAGCCGCUAAACCCGUCCACCGACGCACUUCGAGUUGACCUCGGAUCAGGUAGGAAUACCCGCUGAACUUAA